rnacentral:rRNA from 1 species
UACGUAGGGGGCUAGCGUUGUCCGGAAUCAUUGGGCGUAAAGAGUGUGUAGGCGGUGUUCCCAGUCUGUUGUGAAAUCUCCCGGCUUAACUGGGAGGGUGCAGCGGAAACUAGAAUGCUAGAGGGUGGGAGAGGUAAGCGGAAUUCCUGGUGUAGCGGUGAAAUGCGUAGAUAUCAGGAGGAACACCUGUGGUGUAGACAGCUUACUGGACCACUUCUGACGCUGAGACACGAAAGCGUGGGUAGCAAACAGG